rnacentral:rRNA from 1 species
AGAGUUUGAUCCUGGCUCAGGACGAACGCUGGCGGCGUGCCUAAUACAUGCAAGUAGAACGCUGAGGAUUGGUGCUUGCACUAAUCCAAAGAGUUGCGAACGGGUGAGUAACGCGUAGGUAACCUACCUCAUAGCGGGGGAUAACUAUUGGAAACGAUAGCUAAUACCGCAUGACACUAGAGUACACAUGUACUUAAUUUAAAAGGAGCAAUUGCUUCACUAUGAGAUGGACCUGCGUUGUAUUAGCUAGUUGGUGAGGUAACGGCUCACCAAGGCGACGAUACAUAGCCGACCUGAGAGGGUGAUCGGCCACACUGGGACUGAGACACGGCCCAGACUCCUACGGGAGGCAGCAGUAGGGAAUCUUCGGCAAUGGACGGAAGUCUGACCGAGCAACGCCGCGUGAGUGAAGAAGGUUUUCGGAUCGUAAAGCUCUGUUGUUAGAGAAGAACGGUAAUGGGAGUGGAAAAUCCAUUACGUGACGGUAACUAACCAGAAAGGGACGGCUAACUACGUGCCA